GAUGAUGAUGAUGAUGAUGGCGAUGACGACGAUGAUGAUGAUGAUGGUGGGGUUGUACCUGAAAAACUGUUUCAGGAGGCAAGACAAAAGCAACUAUUAUACAAAAAACAGGUCAACAAAAUGUCUCUGCAACUGCAGGAAACUAAACAGAAGCUAGAGGAGCACAUGAAACGAAGUGCAGAAGUUGAGGCGGAGAAUAAACAGCUACGUUCAUUAAACAUGCAACUGCAGCAACAGUUGCUAAAAUCACUCAACUCUUCAUCUGAUUCUAGACCACCAAAACCAAAGGGGACCAUAAAUGUACAAA